AGAUGUGUAGUCUGACUCCCCAGUGUAACGGAGGAGAAAGAACCGGGGAGUUACUACUGUCUGCCGGCCAGUACAACCUGCACUGUGCUGAUUGCCCUUGGAAAACACUGACUCCUGAAGGAGGAAAUAACCAACUCGGUUCUGCCCAUGAUUUGGGACCCCGAGGAAACCAGAGCCAGCUUGAGCCCAGCUCCUUCCUGGAAGCCGGUUCCUGGUAGCGAUGGGACGGGACACCCAGUACGCCCUGUGACCCUGUGGCUUUAGAGCCCGCCCACUUCUGCAGGCUGCCAGGGUCAGGCAGCCAGGGCUUCGUCUUGAAGACUUGGACUCAUCGGAGGGAUGCAUUAGAGCUUCACAGAGGAAGGAGACAGGCA